rnacentral:rRNA from 1 species
CGAACGGGUGAGUAACGCGUGAGGAACCUGCCUCAAAGAGGGGGACAACAGUUGGAAACGACUGCUAAUACCGCAUAAGCCCACGGCCCGGCAUCGAGCAGAGGGAAAAGGAGUGAUCCGCUUUGAGAUGGCCUCGCGUCCGAUUAGCUAGUUGGUGAGGUAACGGCCCACCAAGGCAACGAUCGGUAGCCGGACUGAGAGGUUGAACGGCCACAUUGGGACUGAGACACGGCCCAG